rfam:Pyronema omphalodes CBS 100304, CBS100304, WGS project CATG01000000 data, contig: Pcon_v1_contig292
UCCCCCGUGGCGCAAUUGGCUAGCGCGUCUGACUGUUAAGAUAUUGCAUCUGCGAUCAGGAGGUUGGUGGUUCAAGCCCACCCGGAGGAG